GCCGCCUGUACUGGUCGAGGUGGAAUCUCUCGCUGAACCGGAUCCCUCACUGUGGAAACUCGUCUUCACUCUGAGAUUUGCUGUCCUGUGAGGUGGGGCUUCAAGUAGAAAGGCAGCCCCAGAUCUACUAGAAUUGGCUCCUGGGCCUGUGGUUACUAGACGUGAAGUCAGCGGGGGCCUCGGAAGGUGGAGCACCUGACUGUUCCGAGUCCAAGGGUCCCGUGAGCUGAGGCUUCGGGUUUCCUGCAGCCAAAUCAGCUCCUCAAAGGGAUGUGCUGCUGGGCUGUGGACGGUGCGUGUGACGUGGCAGCCUCUCUACUCGGAAGUUUUCUUGAGGUUUGCAGGUGACCCAGAGUCGGUGGUGCUGUCCUGUAACUGAUGGAUCCUAACACGCGGGCCCUUGGGUCCAGUAACAAGUGCGCUAACCGCUCUUAAGUGUUCAGCUUGUGUUCACCAAUGUCUGCAGCUUUUUGGCCUCUGAGACACCCAUCAGCAAUAGCUUCUAUCUACACAAAAGAAGACAAAUAAGCACGUGUUCCUUAACAUGCCAGCAGCGACCGAGGGCUGUGACUGCAUCCUGGCCAAGAGAAGGCCCUGUGUGCACCCCAGCCAGUGCCCAGGGAACCCAAGCCUGGGGAGAGGGCUGCACCCGCAACCUCAGCGAGGGGGCCUGCAGACUGGGGGCUCCACCUGGACAGAAUCCAUGGGGGAGGGAUCCACACAAAAACCUGGGAAGUGGGGUCUGAAAGGCCAGGGGCUUAGUUCUGGGCGGAACCAGCUGCCAUGGGAUUUCCCUGAUGGUCCAGUGGUUAAGACUUCAGCUUCCAAUGCAGGGGGUGCGGGUUCAAUCCCUGGUCGGGAAGCUAAGAUCCCACACACCUCAGGGCCAAAACACCAAAACAUAAGACAAAAACAAUGUUGUCACAAAUUCAAUAAAGUCUUUAAAGUGAUCCACAUCAAAAAAUCUUUAAAAAAAAAAAAAAAAAAGGACUGGCUGCUGGCAUGAGCUGUUCUGCCCUGUAAGUCAACUCGACUGGGAGCUUGACACACGGAGAGCAGAGCUCAGAGCUGAGCUGUGACCUACCAUGGCCCCUGGAAGACAGUGAGCUCAAAAGGAUUCACGGUACAGUGACUGCCUUUCUCCUUGACACCAGAGCUGCUGGAAGUUUCCUUUGAUGCUACCACUGCCACCGAAUCUGUUAAAUAACAAAAGUUCACCUGAGUAGCUCUGAGACUCUUAAUUGGCUUCAUGAAGCAAUCCAUGAGUCAGGCCACACCCCACCCAGCAACAGAAAGCAGCUUCAUUACAGCUGCAGAAAGGGAGCAAGAAAAAGGAAAUUAUUCGCAAAGAAUGCAUUUUGGGGGCGAGGUUGCCCUCUUAGGAGAACAGAAGGGGGUCUCCCAGCAGAUUUCCUCCUCGUGCUGGCCAGGAAUUCCAGGCGGGAACUGACACCAUCUUCCCCAUUUAACAGAAGAUGCCAACUACUGGAUGAAGCAUUCUUCACUCCAGACAAGGCCACAGUUUGAUAACCUCCAAGAGCUCAUCGAAGACCACCUGCGGCCAGACUAAAGGAGUGCAGGCCCUGCACACACACUGACCCUUAUCAGCACCCCCACCCUUGAACCAUCACUACAAAACUCCUCACCAAAUCCCCCUGGGUCGGGACACACAGUUCUGAGGGCAGGAGCCCGUUGUGUCCCUCUUUGCCUGGCAAAGCAAUAAAGCUAUUCUUUUCUACUU